rnacentral:rRNA from 1 species
AAAAGAACCCCGGCGAGGGGAGUGAAAAAGAACCUGAAACCGUGUACGUACAAGCAGUGGGAGCACGCUUAGGCGUGUGACUGCGUACCUUUUGUAUAAUGGGUCAGCGACUUAUAUUCUGUAGCAAGGUUAACCGAAUAGGGGAGCCGAAGGGAAACCGAGUCUUAACUGGGCGUUAAGUUGCAGGGUAUAGACCCGAAACCCGGUGAUCUAGCCAUGGGCAGGUUGAAGGUUGGGUAACACUAACUGGAGGACCGAACCGACUAAUGUUGAAAAAUUAGCGGAUGACUUGUGGCUGGGGGUGAAAGGCCAAUCAAACCGGGAGAUAGCUGGUUCUCCCCGAAAGCUAUUUAGGUAGCGCCUCGUGAAUUCAUCUCCGGGGGUAGAGCACUGUUUCGGCAAGGGGGUCAUCCCGACUUACCAACCCGAUGCAAACUGCGAAUACCGGAGAAUGUUAUCACGGGAGACACACGGCGGGUGCUAACGUCCGUCGUGAAGAGGGAAACAACCCAGACCGCCAGCUAAGGUCCCAAAGUCAUGGUUAAGUGGGAAACGAUGUGGGAAGGCCCAGACAGCCAGGAUGUUGGCUUAGAAGCAGCCAUCAUUUAAAGAAAGCGUAAUAGCUCACUGGUCGAGUCGGCCUGCGCGGAAGAUGUAACGGGGCUAAACCAUGCACCGAAGCUGCGGCAGCGACACUAUGUGUUGUUGGGUAGGGGAGCGUUCUGUAAGCCUGUGAAGGUGUGCUGUGAGGCAUGCUGGAGGUAUCAGAAGUGCGAAUGCUGACAUAAGUAACGAUAAAGCGGGUGAAAAGCCCGCUCGCCGGAAGACCAAGGGUUCCUGUCCAACGUUAAUCGGGGCAGGGUGAGUCGACCCCUAAGGCGAGGCCGAAAGGCGUAGUCGAUGGGAAACAGGUUAAUAUUCCUGUACUUGGUGUUACUGCGAAGGGGGGACGGAGAAGGCUAUGUUGGCCGGGCGACGGUUGUCCCGGUUUAAGCGUGUAGGCUGGUUUUCCAGGCAAAUCCGGAAAAUCAAGGCUGAGGCGUGAUGACGAGGCACUACGGUGCUGAAGCAACAAAUGCCCUGCUUCCAGGAAAAGCCUCUAAGCAUCAGGUAACAUCAAAUCGUACCCCAAACCGACACAGGUGGUCAGGUAGAGAAUACCAAGGCGCUUGAGAGAACUCGGGUGAAGGAACUAGGCAAAAUGGUGCCGUAACUUCGGGAGAAGGCACGCUGAUAUGUAGGUGAAGUCCCUCGCGGAUGGAGCUGAAAUCAGUCGAAGAUACCAGCUGGCUGCAACUGUUUAUUAAAAACACAGCACUGUGCAAACACGAAAGUGGACGUAUACGGUGUGACGCCUGCCCGGUGCCGGAAGGUUAAUUGAUGGGGUUAGCCGCAAGGCGAAGCUCUUGAUCGAAGCCCCGGUAAACGGCGGCCGUAACUAUAACGGUCCUAAGGUAGCGAAAUUCCUUGUCGGGUAAGUUCCGACCUGCACGAAUGGCGUAAUGAUGGCCAGGCUGUCUCCACCCGAGACUCAGUGAAAUUGAACUCGCUGUGAAGAUGCAGUGUACCCGCGGCAAGACGGAAAGACCCCGUGAACCUUUACUAUAGCUUGACACUGAACAUUGAGCCUUGAUGUGUAGGAUAGGUGGGAGGCUU